rnacentral:rRNA from 1 species
UACGGAGGGUGCAAGCGUUAUCCGGAUUCACUGGGUUUAAAGGGUGCGUAGGCGGGCAGAUAAGUCAGUGGUGAAAUACCUGAGCUUAACUUGGGAACUGCCAUUGAUACUAUUUGUCUUGAAUGUCGUGGAGGUUAGCGGAAUAUGUCAUGUAGCGGUGAAAUGCUUAGAGAUGACAUAGAACACCUAUUGCGAAGGCAGCUAACUACGCGAAUAUUGACGCUGAGGCACGAAGGCCAGGGGAGCAAACGGG